rnacentral:rRNA from 1 species
UCCGAGUUGUAAUUUGAAGAAGGUAUCUUUGGGUCUGGCUCUGUCUAUGUUUCUUGGAACAGAACGUCACAGAGGGUGAGAAUCCCGUGCGAUGAGAUGUCCCAGACCUAUGUAAAGUUCCUUCGAAGAGUCGAGUUGUUUGGGAAUGCAGCUCUAAGUGGGUGGUAAAUUCCAUCUAAAGCUAAAUAUUGGCGAGAGACCGAUAGCGAACAAGUACAGUGAUGGAAAGAUGAAAAGAACUUUGAAAAGAGAGUGAAAAAGUACGUGAAAUUGUUGAAAGGGAAGGGCUUGAGAUCAGACUUGGUAUUUUGUAUGUUACUCUCUCGGGGGUGGCCUCUACAGUUUACCGGGCCAGCAUCAGUUUGAGCGGUAGGAUAAGUGCAAAGAAAUGUGGCACUGCUUCGGUAGUGUGUUAUAGUCUUUGUCGAUACUGCCAGCUUAGACUGAGGACUGCGGCUUCGGCCUAGGAUGUUGGCAUAAUGAUCUUAAGUCGCCCGUCUUGAAACACGGACCAAGGAGUCUAACGUCUAUGCGAGUGUUUGGGUGUAAAACCCGUACGCGUAAUGAAAGUGAACGUAGGUAGGACCUCCUUUAGGAGUGCACUAUCGACCGAUCCUGAUGUCUUCGGAUGGAUUUGAGUAAGAGCAUAGCUGUUGGGACCCGAAAGAUGGUGAACUAUGCCUGAAUAGGGUGAAGCCAGAGGAAACUCUGGUGGAGGCUCGUAGCGGUUCUGACGUGCAAAUCGAUCGUCGAAUUUGGGUAUAGGGGCGAAAGAC